rnacentral:rRNA from 1 species
UGGGGAAUUUUGGACAAUGGGCGAAAGCCUGAUCCAGCAAUGCCGCGUGUGUGAAGAAGGCCUUCGGGUUGUAAAGCACUUUUGUCCGGAAAGAAAUCCUUGGCUCUAAUACAGUCGGGGGAUGACGGUACCGGAAGAAUAAGCACCGGCUAACUACGUGCCAGCAGCCGCGGUAAUACGUAGGGUGCAAGCGUUAAUCGGAAUUACUGGGCGUAAAGCGUGCGCAGGCGGUUUGCUAAGACCGAUGUGAAAUCCCCGGGCUCAACCUGGGAACUGCAUUGGGUGACUGGCAGGCUAGAGUAUGGCAGAGGGGGGUAGAAUUCCACGUGUAGCAGUGAAAUGCGUAGAGAUGUGGAGGAAUACCGAUGGCGAAGGCAGCCCCCUGGGCCAAUACUGACGCUCAUGCACGAAAGCGUGGGGAGCAAACAGGAUUAGAUACCCUGGUAGUCCACGCCCUAAACGAUGUCAACUAGUUGUUGGGGAUUCAUUUCCUUAGUAACGUAGCUAACGCGUGAAGUUGACCGCCUGGGGAGUACGGUCGCAAGAUUAAAACUUAAAUGAAUUGACGGGGUCAUA